rnacentral:rRNA from 1 species
UGUACGCGUAUACCAAAGUUGUUGCAGUUAAAACGCUCGUAGUCGGAAUUUGGCAGUUCCGGAUGUGUGCACGUCGUGUGCGCACUUCGCGGGGAUUGCUUUUGUGGUCUUGCGUAGGAUGAGGCACUUUUAUUAGUGAACGUCCUCACGCAACCACUUUUUACUGCGAGAAAAUCAGAGUGCUCAAAGCAGGCAUUUGCCGUGAAUGUAUUAGCAUGGAAUAAUAGAAUAGGUCUUGGUUCUAUUUUGUUGGUUUGUUGGGACUGAGUAAUGAUUAAGAGGGACAGUUGGGGGCAUUUGUAUUUCGGUGCUAGAGGUGAAAUUCAUAGAUUGCCGAAAGACAAACUGCUGCGAAAGCGUCUGCCAAGGAUGUUUUCAUUGA